GUAGGUGGCAAGCGUUGUCCGGAAUUAUUGGGCGUAAAGCGCGCGCAGGCGGUUCUUUAAGUCUGAUGUGAAAGCCCACGGGCUCAACCGUGGGAGGGUCAUUGGAAACUGGAGAACUUGAGUACAGAAGAGGAAAGCGGAAUUCCACGUGUAGCGGUGAAAUGCGUAGAGAUGUGGAGGAACACCAGUGGCGAAGGCGGCUUUCUGGUCUGUAACUGACGCUGAGGCGCGAAAGCGUGGGGAGCAAACAGGAUUAGAUACCCUGGUAGUCCACGCCCGUAAACGAUGAGUGCUAAGUGUUAGGGGGUUUCCGCCCCUUAGUGCUGCAGCUAACGCAUUAAGCACUCCGCCUGGGGAGUACGGCCGCAAAGGCUG
rnacentral:rRNA from 1 species